rnacentral:rRNA from 1 species
GAUGAACGCUAGCUACAGGCUUAACACAUGCAAGUCGCGGGGUAACAUCUGGUAGAGCUUGCUCUUCCAGGAUGACGACCGGCGCACGGGUGAGUAACGCGUAUCCAACCUGGCCCAUACCACGGGAUAGCCCGUCGAAAGGCGGAUUAAUACCGUAUGCUGUCAUUAAGAUGCAUAUAUUGAUGACGAAAGGACUGGCGGUAUGGGAUGGGGAUGCGUCUGAUUAGCUUGUUGGCGGGGUAACGGCCCACCAAGGCGACGAUCAGUAGGGGUUCUGAGAGGAAGGUCCCCCACAUUGGAACUGAGACACGGUCCAAACUCCUACGGGAGGCAGCAGUGAGGAAUAUUGGUCAAUGGGCGAGAGCCUGAACCAGCCAAGUAGCGUGCAGGAUGACGGCCCUAUGGGUUGUAAACUGCUUUUAUAAGGGAAUAAAGUGGGUCUCGUGAGACUUUUUGCAUGUACCUUAUGAAUAAGGACCGGCUAAUUCCGUGCCAGCAG